ACUCCCAAAAAGCCAAAGGAAGCAGCACCAGGCAGGAAAAGAAAAGGGGAAGCAGUUCCACGUGAUUUCUGGGCAGGCAUUGCAACAAAAUAUAUGAAGAUGGAGCUGACCAGCUAGGAAGAAGGAUUUAGAAGUGCUAAGCAUCGGAGGAUGGUCCACUAGGAAAAGUGGGGCACUGCCUCACCUACAUCAGCCCACCUCCUGCCUGCCUGCCUGCCUUCUCACGUACAGCAACCAAUCAGGAAGUAUCUCUGCCUGUCAUUGGCUUUGGCUUCACUUACGCCCUUUUAUACAGGACUCGAGGAAAUCCCACUGAAUUGGAAUGGACUGAAAUAACCAUCAAAAUAACGAUAAGGCAACGUUACAUGAUUCUAUUGCUCCUGGAGUUCCCUGAGUUUUGGAAGGAGAAUGGUAAAGACUUUGCAUAGAAGUGCUUGCAGCUUUCCUCUUUGCUUAGCCUCAGACAUUGUGGAUUGAACAAGUAAUAGAAGCAAAGCAUUGAUUUCAGCAUAAAGUUGAUUCUUCAUUGGCAUUGCUCUGGUCCAAGGUUUCCAAAAGCUCUCCCGAAGGGGCUCAGUUUAUCUCUAACCGGAUCUCGGCCUGGACAGGAGCAGAACUUCCUAAAAGUACAAUCUGAGAGAGUCAUAUAGGAAAUGAGGAGAGCUGAAUUUAAGAUUGGAUACAUGAAAAACUGAUGGAACCAUCCCUACUGCCCAUCCUAAGACUUACCAUCGACUCUGAAAAGUAAAAUACGGAACUGCCGGGGAUCCACCUUGACCUACAACAAAAUAAUGAGGAGACAACUUAAAACACAUACUACACACACUCAUCUGUAGAGUUGGAAUGAUUUUGUUCCAAAAAUAUUCUCAUCAAAAUUCUCCUUUGCAGAUUUUGGGAGGCAAUAUUCUCUUAAGUACUCAUAUAUUCUCCAAAUAAUCUGUUUUUAUGAUGUUUUAAAGUGUUUUUAGUGUUUCUGUUUGCCACCCUGGGCUCCUGCUGGGAGGAAGGGCGGGAUAUAAAUCAAAUAAUAAAUACAUAAAU